CCCUAUCCCCUGCACCCAGCUUUCUUUCUGUCCUUCCUGCCUCGGGAAAGGAGGAACACAUGAGGAGUGUUGAAGGUAAAAGAAGAUAACUGGAGAGCAACUGAAUGAACCUUGACAAUGAAUGAGUAAGAAGAAAAACCACAAUCUAAAAUAUCAAUACUGCUUUCCAGUCAGCUGAGGCACAAAAGGAAAAACAAAAGCAAGUAAACAGUGGGAUGGAAACAGCAAGAAAGAAGAAAGUAUAAUUUGUAAAAGAACCAUUGCCAAAUUCCUGUUCCCAUUUCUCCAUUUUAAUUCUGGCUAAUUUCAUUUUGCACAUAAUGAUAUAUAUCAAGUAAUUGCCAACA